GGGGAUGUCCGGUUUCGACAGGGUCGGAUAUCAGGCCAUUGCACGUCGAGGUGCCCGAGGCCUCGUUAAAACGGGCAAAAAACGCAGCUGCGAAUACACCACAGCUCGCUCUCGCCGCCUAAGUCACAGACCUCUAGGUAGCGCGUCCAACCGGCUCUCGCUUCGUCGGAUCGGAUCGUGGGCGUCACCAAGACGAAGUGCGGCGAUCUAGUCCGUUGGAGCGCGAUCGUCAAAGGCAGUCCAACUUACCGCUCAUCAACCCUGUCGGCGGGGGUGGUGAUCGGCACAUAAAACACCGACUAAACGUGUAGUAGAUGUCCGAUGGAUGGUUCUGGACGGGGGUUCGAUUCCCCCCAUCUCCACCG
rnacentral:tmRNA from 1 species